GACAGAGGUGCCAAGCGUUAGGCGGAAUCACUGGGCUUAAAGCGUGUGUAGGCGGACCGUUAAGUACCUUGUGAAAUCCCCCGGCUCAACCGGGGAACUGCUGGGUAUACUGGCGGUCUUGGGCCACUCAGGGGCAGAUGGAACAGACGGUGGAGCGGUGAAAUGCGUAGAUAUCGUCAGGAAUGCCGGUGGUGAAGACGGGUGACUGGGCUGGUUCUGACACUGAGGCACGAAAGCGUGGGGAGCGAACGGG
rnacentral:rRNA from 1 species